GGCAGCCCACCAGGCUCCCCUAUCCCUGGAUUCUCCGGCAAGAACACUGCAGUGGGUUGCCAUUUUCUUCUCAAUGCAUGAAAGUGAAAAGUCAAAGUAAAGUCGCUCAGUCGUGUAAUUUAUUGAGCAGACACUACAAUCUUUACCUAUAUUACAAUGCUCUCAAGGCAGAUAUUAUUCCCAUGUUACAGAAGGAAAUCUUUGGAAGUUACUUCCCCAAAAGACACACAUCCACACAUCCACAUCAGGCGCCCAGGUUUAAAGACAUUGUAAAAAAAUAGUCCAAAGAAUCCUAUUGAAUUUCACUGUAAUAAUAUGAAGACAUUUUGCAUUACACUAAAUUGAAUUCACUUUAAAAGAAACUACAGCAUAAAUUUCACUUUGGAUUCUAUGUAGGAAAAACCUUGUUCCUCUUAGGCAAUUGUUUCUUCAUGUAUGAGAUUUUUAAUUAAUCAUUAAAAUUUCUGUAUGCUCUCUUUCCCUGGAAAUUAGAAAACUGGAAUCAAAUGUGUGCUCAGCUCUAAUAAACAUGAAGGAUUUCACAAAAUGGAUUUUGUGAGCUAAUGUCUCCCCUAACGCUAAGAUUUUUUAUCAUUUCAUUUUGUAUGUUGAUACUAUUACAAACUAGGUAUCUUCAAGUGCUAUUUACCAAAAUAUUGUCAAAACUCUACAAGGUACACAUUUUACUAUAUACAAAUAAUAUGAAAAUAAAGGGCUGGAGAAAAGUACAAAAAAAAUCCAUUUAUAAUAAUCAAAAUCAAAAGACAGUAAUUUAAAUGUUUCUUGCACUAUCUUUUAGUCAAUUCUUGACAAAACAUUCUAAAUUACUUCAUCCUUACAUAAGUCAUCACUGAAUUAAUAUUUCUAUUCUAUUUAUUGUGUGCAUAUUUAGUCAUUCAGUUGGGUGCAACUCUUUGCAACCUCAUGGACUAUAACUGGCCAGACUCCUCUGUCCAUGUAAUUCUCCAGGCAAGAAUACUGGAAGGGGUAACGAUUCCCUUCUCUAGGGGAUCUUCCCAAUCCAGGGAUUGAACCCAGGUCUCCUGCAUUGCAGGGAGUUUCUUUACCAUCUGAGCCACCAGGGAAGCUCAAUUCUAUUUAUUAUAAUUUAUAACUUAAAAUAUAGUUUUCUAUAUAUAACAUUUAUUAGAGUGGGGAUAAUUUUGAGGAUUUCAUUUUGUAUGUUGAUACUAUUACAAACUAGGUAUCUUCAAGUGCUAUUUACCAAAAUAUUGUCAAAACUCUACAAGGUACACAUUUUACUAUAUACAAAUAAUAUGAAAAUAAAGGGCUGGAGAAAAGUACAAAAAAAAUCCAUUUAUAAUAAUCAAAAUCAAAAGACAGUAAUUUAAAUGUUUCUUGCACUAUCUUUUAGUCAAUUCUUGACAAAACAUUCUAAAUUACUUCAUCCUUACAUAAGUCAUCACUGAAUUAAUAUUUCUAUUCUAUUUAUUGUGUGCAUAUUUAGUCAUUCAGUUGGGUGCAACUCUUUGCAACCUCAUGGACUAUAACUGGCCAGACUCCUCUGUCCAUGUAAUUCUCCAGGCAAGAAUACUGGAAGGGUAACGAUUCCUCUCUAGGGAUCUUCCCAAUCCAGGAUUGAACAGGUCUCCUGCAUUGCAGGAGUUUCUUUACCAUCUGAGCCACCAGGGAAGCUCAAUUCUAUUUAUUAUAAUUUAUAACUUAAAAUAUAGUUUUCUAUAUAUAACAUUUAUUAGAGUGGGGAUAAUUUUGAGGGAUUUCAUUUUGUGACGAUUACAUUAUGGACUUCUAUUGGUCUAUUUAAGAUAUUUUUUCUAGGAAGUUAGAGUGCAUAUCAAAGAAUCAAUGUGGAAGAAAAAGCAUAUUUUGUGAAAUAAAAAUACUAGUGGAGAAAAAAGAAAACAUGCACCCGGAGCAACCUGAUCAAGCCAAUGCCAAAGGUGAGAUGCACAUGCCCAGGCCUCUGGCUUCACUUUUCUCCUUAUCUUGGUCUUCCUAGUAGUGUUUCUCAAACUUUUGGUGUUGGAACUCUUUACACUCAUUUAGUUUUGGUGAGAUUCAUUUUGUGAGUCAUAUUGAUCAAUAUUCAUCCUAUUAGAAACUAAAACUGAUAAAUGUUUGAAAUAUUUAUUCAUUUUAAAAUAACAAUAAUAAAACCAUUACAUGUUAAUAUUUAAUGUUAACAUGUAAAUGUUAAAGUGUUACAUGUUAACAAAAUCAUUUUACAUUAAAAAAUAUAGUUUUUUUAAAGAAAUAAGUGACAUUAUUUUGUAUUUUUUUUAAUUCCUCUAAUAUCUUGCUUCAAGAAAAUAGAUUCUCAUAUCUGCUUCAGCAUUCAUUUUGAUAAGUUCUUUUGGUUGAAAUAUAUGACAAAAUUUGGCCUCACAGAGAUAUAUAGUUGGGAAAAGGAGUUUUAGUAGCCUUCUCAGGUUAUUAUAAUAUUUGAAUUUGAUACAACACCCAAACUCAACAAGUAAUAGUUUCUUAGUGCCAAAUGAGGCCAGUAAUAGUCUAACAACAUCCAAAUAAAUGAAGCACAAUAAAAAGGAAGCUGCAAACCAAUAUCUCUUCAAACUUAAAAGCAAAAAUAAUUAACAACGUUGACAAAUUGAAUACAGUGAGUGUGUAUAUUUUUAAGUAUAUAUGUGUAUGUUUGUGUCAUGUACACAUGACCAAAUGUGAUUUAUCCCAUGUAUUCAAGGCUGAUUCAAUAUUCAAAAAUUAAUCAAUGCAAUCCACCAUAUCAACAGGCUUAGAGAAAAGUCAUAUGUCCAUAUCAAUUGAUAAAGUAAAAAGCAUUUGAUGUAAUUUGACAUCCAUUCAGGAUAAAAAGUCUCAGUGCAUUAGGAGCAGAGGGGCAACUUCUUCAACCUAAUAAAGAACAGCUACAAAAAAAACAUACAGCUAACAGCAUACUUGGGCUUCUCUGGUGGUUCAGUGGUAAAGAACCCACCUGCCCAUGCAGGAGAUGUGAGUUCAAUUACAGGGUAAGAAAGCUUCCCUAGAGAAGGAAAUGGCAACCCACUCCAGUAUUCUUGCCUAGGAAAUCCCAUGGGCAGAUUUCACGGGGAUGCAAAAGAGUCAGUCAUGUCUUAGCGACUAAACAACAACAAUAACAUCAUACUUAGUAAAAUAAUGUUUUUUCUUGUAAUAUUUGGAAGAAGGCAAGGAUGUCUACUCUCACCAUUCUUACCACAAUACUGGAAGUUCUAGCCAUUGCAAUCAGGCGUGAAAAAUGAAUUAAAGGCACACAGAUUGAAAGAAAUAAAAUUGUUUUCAUUCUCAGAUGACACAAUUGUCUACAUUUAAAAAACCCUCAAAGGAUCUGCAGCCCUAGAUUCAAAAUGUAUGUGAGCUUAGUAAAGUUUCAGGAUAUAAGACUAACACAAUAACCAACUGCAUUUCUAUAAACUGACAGAGAAGAAAUGGAAACAAAAAUUUCAAAUGCAGUUUCUUUAUAGUAGCUCCAAAGAAAAUGAAAUACUUAGGUAUAAGUCUAACAAAAUAUAACUAUAUAUAAUCAAAAUUAUGAUAUUCUGAUAAAAGAAAUCAAGGAAGACCUAAAUAUUAAUACCUGGAGAAACAUACCAUGUUUACAAAUUGGAGGAAUCAACAUAGUAAAGAUGCUAAUUCUCCCUAAAUUAACAUAUAGGUUUAACAUAACUCCUUUUAUCAUAUUAAAGUAUAGCAACAAAAUUCUACAUUAAAUAGGUUUAAAAGUGGAUCUUCCAAAAAGAAAAAGUUAAUCAAAAUUGUUUAAUUUGUUAAAUAAUUACACCAGGCAUCAUAAUUGCAGUCUCAAAAAUAAUCUCAUGGACUUCAAAGACUAAAGAGAAAAAUAAUAAACAGCAAUUUGAAACAAUUUUCUUAAUACAUUUUUAAACUGCUAAAAAUAAUGCUACACAGGCAACAAAAGCAAAACUAGAUAAACAAGACUACAAUGAACAGAAUUUUUGUGUACAGCAAAGAACACAAUCAAUAGAGUGAAAAAAGCAACCUAUUGAGUGGGAGAAAAUCAUUUAUUUGAUAAAGGGUUAACAUCCAGACUAUAGAGAGAACUCCAACAACUCAACAACAAAAAAAUCAAAUAACCAGAUUUUAAAAUGGGCAAAGGACUUGCAUAGACAUUUCUCCAAAGAUGAUAUUCAAAUAGCCAACAGGUACGUGAAAGACACUCAACAUCAUUAAUCAUCAAGGAAAUGCAAAUCAAAACCACAGUGAGAUAUCACAGUGAGAUAUUACAGUAAGCUGCCUACUGUAAAUAAAUAAACAAGUGUUAUAGAGGAUAUGGAAAAUAAUUACACCAGGCAUCAUAA
rnacentral:lncRNA from 1 species